rnacentral:tRNA from 1 species
GUCCAUGUAGUAUAUCUAUUACCCUGGUCUUGUAAACCAGAAAAGGGAAAUAAACUUCCCCAUAGACU